rnacentral:rRNA from 1 species
AGCGGCGGACGGGUGAGUAACACGUGGGCAACCUGCCUGUAAGACUGGGAUAACUCCGGGAAACCGGGGCUAAUACCGGAUAACUUCUUUUCUCGCAUGGGGAGAGGUUGAAAGACGGUUUUGCUGUCACUUACAGAUGGGCCCGCGGCGCAUUAGCUAGUUGGUGGGGUAACGGCCUACCAAGGCGACGAUGCGUAGCCGACCUGAGAGGGUGAUCGGCCACACUGGGACUGAGACACGGCCCAGACUCCUACGGGAGGCAGCAGUAGGGAAUCUUCCGCAAUGGACGAAAGUCUGACGGAGCAACGCCGCGUGAGUGAUGAAGGCCUUCGGGUCGUAAAACUCUGUUAUCAGGGAAGAACAAGUGUCGUUUAACUGACGGCGCCUUGACGGUACCUGACCAGAAAGCCACGGCUAACUACGUGCCAGCAGCCGCGGUAAUACGUAGGUGGCAAGCGUUGUCCGGAAUUAUUGGGCGUAAAGCGCGCGCAGGUGGUUCCUUAAGUCUGAUGUGAAAGCCCACGGCUCAACCGUGGAGGGUCAUUGGAAACUGGGGAACUUGAGUGCAGAAGAGGAAAGUGGAAUUCCAAGUGUAGCGGUGAAAUGCGUAGAGAUUUGGAGGAACACCAGUGGCGAAGGCGACUUUCUGGUCUGUAACUGACACUGAGGCGCGAAAGCGUGGGGAGAGAACAGGAUUAGAUACCCUGGUAUUCCACGCCGUAAACGAUGAGUGCUAAGUGUUAGAGGGUUUCCGCCCUUUAGUGCUGCAGCAAACGCAUUAAGCACUCCGC